rnacentral:rRNA from 1 species
GAGAGGAAGGUCCCCCACACUGGUACUGAGACACGGACCAGGCUCCUACGGGAGGCAGCAGUGAGGAAUAUUGGUCAAUGGGCGGAAGCCUGAACCAGCCAAGUAGCGA